GGUCUUGCUUUCGUGUUCUAGCCGAUCCCGAUCCCGCUGCAUUUGGUUCCCGGGGUUAAUGGGUUUGGGGCAGUGAUUUGGUACAAGAUGCUCAUCAGAUUAGAGCAGGAACGGCGGGUCAUCGAGGGACCUUGGAGCCCGUCACUGCUCUGCCUGGGGCCCCGCUACCGCUCCGAUGACCAGUGCGUGAUGUGGGAGACCUGGACGAGCCGCCCCUGCGGUUGGUGGGAGCCCCGGGGAGCACUCACCUCUCCGGCUCCGCUGGGUGAAGUGAGCCAGGCCAUUUCUGUCGUUCCUGUCUGGCACCCUAACGCCGCUCUCUGAAGCUCUGGCCGUGGCAGAGCCCGAGGGGUAAACCCUCUACGUGGCGCCCGCAGUUGACGGGUGCGGGGAGGUGCUCUGCCGGUCUCCCGGGCCCCGACAGGCUCUCCCUGCGAGUAUUUGUGUCUGUGCCGGCAAAGAGCCGAGAACCUGUGACCGAAAAGGUACUUUUCUUACCUUUUCCUCUGGAGGCGCCUGGCUGUUUGAGAAGAAACCUGGUUCUCUGCCUUCCUCUCUCAUCUCCCGUGGCUCUUGGUGUCCCCUCGAGCUCUGAAAGCGGUGAAGCUGCGGGAGAGCACGGGCCCUCAGAGCCCAGAGACGACGGGACACCCUGGGAAGCUGGCAGGUGCUGGGGGCUGUGGCCAGAGUGGCUUCCUCUCUCCCACAAGCCUUCGGAGCCAGGCAGGAGCCCGUGCGCCCUUCCUCCUGACACGCUCGCCGUGGUUACAACUGCACAGCCGCCCGUCUCGUGUGGCUUGCGUGCGGCAGGGCCGGCGGUGACCAGUGUGGGCGUGUAUUUUUAGGGGGGUCUUCCCCAGGUGACGGCGAGGGGCAAGCACCGGCUCUCAAAGCUGGGCGACGUGCUCAGGUCCGUCACCUGUGUUCCCUGGAGGGGACCCACGUCGCUGCCGCUAGAGGUGACCUCGGAGCCCCGAGGUUGGCCGAGGCCACUCCUUCCCCGUCCGUUGGCGAAGGCAAGACCCGGGGCCCCCGCCGAUUGCCGAGGAAGCCAGACCGGAUGUAGCUGGGGCCCCUGGGGAGAGAACACACGUGCACCCCUGUGCGUCCUCGCUCUCCAGGUGCUCUUCCAGCAGGAAGGCCCGAUGGAGCAGUGCCACCCAGCCCCACUGGGUUCGAGGCCGGAUUGGAGGCCGUGAAACCCGAAGCCGGGGUGGCGGAGUGUGCCGGGCCGGGCGUGACCGUCCCCAAACGUGAGUAACGCCGUCCUGGUUGUGCAGGAACUGGCAACAAGCUGGAGGCGGGGUCUGAAGCCCUGUGGGUACCGCCUAGGCACCCACCACCGGCCACGUGUACUUUGGACCAAGAGUUUGCUGCGUGGCUGACAGACGGACACAUUCUGGCGAGGUGAUGCUCAUUCAGCUAGGCCGUUCUGGCUUCUGGGGCAAAGCCUUGUGGUUUUUGGCUAUAAUUUCUGUGAAAAUUCUGAAGGUGGCAAGCAAUCAACUUGUUUUUAAUUAAAUCUGUAUUCUCUUUGGUUGGCCCUGACUGAUCUGAAUUCCCAGAUGGGGGUCACCCAAAGCUGAAGGGCAGUGGGAACUGCGGCUGUCCCGUCCAGACUGCAGGGGUCUCAGAGGUAACUCGGUUCUGAGUCAGCCGCUCUUUCAAUUCCUUGACAAAGGCUGCUUCCCCGGCACCUUUCCCAGGAGGGUCACUUUGACAACUACUCCAGGUCCCACUCCCCGAGGGCCCUGGCGGGACCUGACCUUGGCUCCCCGGUGAGCCCCUCCACGUUCAGUGAAAUCGAUAAUCUGUCAGUGACAGUGUGACAGAGUUGAGGCGGAGGAGGAACGGGCCUCCUUUGCCAGCUGAUCCCACGUUUAUUUCGCAGACUGGAUGCACGUGGGGGGAGCGCCGUGCUCGGCGGGCCCAUUAAAAGGGACGUGUCCGGCUGUCCAUCCAUCCUCCCCGUCAGGAUUCGUGUGGCCGCACGGGAACAUACUGACUUUUGAAGACAGAGAAGGGACUGGUUAAUGGUAUUUGGUAAUUUUGUAUUGUAUCAGCUACAGUAAUUGGUCAUGGGUAUUCUUGUUUUACGCGUAAUCUGCUCCCUCCCCCUACUGUUCUGAAGUCAGAUGAUUUUGAAUAUGAGACAUCAUUACAUCUGUGCUAUUUUGGCCACAUCCCUGUAGGAUAAGGGUGGGUCCUGAAAACACACGACCACGGUACCGAUAUCCUACAUAAAUGCGAUCUCUUGGUCCGAAGUAUCUGGUUGGUGCUCACAUGUCCCCCGUUGGCUCACAAGCGUUUCCGUUGGUUUGUUCACGCUUGCAUGGAUCCAAACCAGAUUUACACAUCUUCUCCAGUUAAUGUCUCCUCCUCCGCUAGGUUCCCUCUGGUUUUCCGGCAAUCUGUUGCAAGAAGCUGGGUCGUCUGACCCAGGUCAGGUCAGCUCGGGUCGUGUGUCGUGCAGAAGCUCCAUCUUCCGGAUUUUGCCGACUGCAUCGUCUGUGCUGACUUUUCAGCCCGUCUUCAAGCACAGUUUGCCGAGCGACUCCGCACACGCCCUGUGUUACGGAGCCGAGCGCCCAACACCGUUAGCUGCGCCUGCAGGUCAGGGGGCACGAAGUAACUUGUGUAAAUCACCACACGUCCAGCGAUCGGAUUUAGAGUCAGGUCUGAAGAUUCCAGAACCCAUGAUUUUAACCACUACGCUAUAAAUUUAUGCACUCUGAAGAUGCGCAAACUUACUGUGGGGGCUCUCCUCUAUGAAACUUCCCGCGUCUGUUUUACGGGCCACUUAUGUGGAGAGAAGUCUCUUGAUAGACUUUCGAGACUGUCAUUUUCUUCUCUGAGCUGCGCAGUCGGCCAGAACCAGCGGGCCCUUCCAAUCUUCGCCGACCUUUGCCAAGUUUGAAUGGUUUUGAGUCCAAGGCGCGGAGUCCGUGCCCCGUGAAGCCACCGGAGAACGAAAGAAAAGCACGGGAAGCGGCUGGACGGCGGCCUGAGUGAGUGCCCACCGCGUGGGGACCUCCCUCCUCGGCCAGACAGAUGCGUGGUGCCGCGGCUGGUCCCUGUCCAUCCCCUCCCCGCUCGGGCUCCUGCUUCCUGGCCUCACUGCCGAGGUCACAAGCGCGGGCUCUGCACCAGCAUGGAGCGCCAGCUGAACAAACGUGUUCCCAGACGGGACUCGCAGUCUGGAAAAGCUGAACCGCUUACAUGGUCCCGGGUUUAGAAGAGCAAGACUGUGGAAUCACAGGGGGAUUUGAACC